GGUUGGAUGAGCCCGGCGUUGGAGGGCUGCUGGCUGGAAAAGAACUCCACGCGGCCGGGAAUGAAGCGCGCCCAGGUCCGCUGCGCCGCCAGCGCACGGCUGCCCAGCCUGGAUUUCACAGUUUCUAUUCCUGUGAUGUCAUUUAAACAUUCUUCUGGGAUUUCUGAAUGUCCUGCGAAUUGGUCAUCCACCGAAGAUCCAGUAAUGUCAGACAUCCAGAGACUUACUCUGCAUUCAUGCUCCUCUCUCAGUACUGCUUCAUUUGUAAACAUUGCAUAGGAAAUCAGCGCUGCUAGGCUCAAGCAAUUCAGCUACCAAGGCCCCUAAGCCAAAUCCAGCCUCCCACCUCUUUUGGGGUGAUGACUACUUACUUCAGUUGCUUCUUUUGUGAUGUUUUGAUGUUAUUUUCAGGUUCCAUACCCUUGGAUUCAACCAAUUAUGGAAAACGUGGACAUGUCUAGAAUCCUAUAAUGGUUGUGUCUCUACUGAACGUG